AUGAAAGAAGGGAAUUGUACUUUUUUGUUCAAAGAAAAAAAUAAAGCUUUGUAUAAACAAAGCAAUAAAAUAAUUAAAAAAUGUAAAUACAAUGAUGAUGCGUUUUUAUAUUUUUUGUUGGAAAAAAAAAUAUUUUUAUUUCAAAAAGUUUUUAUACAGUUGUUUGUUAGGGCUAUUUUGAAUAUAGGUAAAUAUUUUAAAACAUAUCCUGAAUUAUUUAAAAAAUAUAAAACAAGUUUUAACAUAACACGAAUAUGGAAAGAAUAUUUAAUAAUAACUUUUAAUUCUUUAAAUGUGUAUAUACAGAAUAAAAAUAUGUUAUACUUAUAUUUGUUUUAUUAUAAUACAUUUUGUGAAAAUGACAAACAGUACACUAACGAACAGACUUUUUUAUACAAACAAUAUAUUUUAUUAAAAAAAAAACAUACAAACAAAACAAUAUAUUUUUUAAAAAAUCAUGACAAAAGUUACACUAAUAUUGAUAACGGAAACAAUAACAACAGAUAUAACAACAAAAACGAUAACAUCGCCGAAGCAGUAAAAAUAUGCUUAAAUUUUAAUAAUGUUGAAAAAAAUGAUAACACUACAUUCAUUUCCUAUUACGGUAAAAAAGAUUAUUACUAUAUUGCGAAUAACCGCAUGUGUGUGUUAUUAUAUGAACAUAUAUGGGAAGCAGAAAUAUUUAAACUGAUGGUAGUUAUAAUAAAAAGAAUAAUAAAUAUAAUAAUCUUAAUAACAAUAACAGUAAAAGUAAUAUUAAAAAUAUUAAUAAAAAAAAUUUUCAGUUUUUAUAUUACUCGUUUGAGUACAUUGUUAUGUGAAGUAGCAUUAGUUGACAAUAAUAUAGUAGACAAAAAGACAUGUACAGGUAUUUAUAAAAAAAAAUUAGAAAAUUAUCAUAAAAAAUAUAUGAACAGUCAUAAUUUAUUUUGUAUAACGUAUAUAAAACGAAACAAAAUGGAUUAUAAAAAAAGUAGUGGAAAUGGAAAUGGUAAUAUUCGAAAAUUAUAUGAUGUACAUAUAUGUUAUUACAAAAUAUCGGUAAAUAAAUUAUUUCAAUGCUUGCAGAUUAUGAACAAACCAAAAUGUGUUAUGUAUGAUGCGUAUUAUGAGCAUUAUAAUAAUUUAACUAGCUUAAAUAAAAUAAGUGUUAAAUAUGUAAAUAAUAACAAGAAAUGUACUUAUUUGUUAAAAAUAUGUAAUAAGUAUGUAAGUAGUUAUAGUAGUGGUAGAGGUAGUUAUAGUAGUAGUAGUAGCUGUAGUAGCUGUAGUGGCUGUAGUGGCUGUAGUAGCUGUAGUAGCUGUAGUGGCUGUAGUGGUAGUUAUAUUUUACACGAUAGGUAUGAGCAUGUUGGUCGUAGUGGUAAUGUAAAAAAGAACAAUAUAUUAUUAACAGAUAAGUUAUAUUUGUACAACUAUAAACAGUCAAAUUUUCUAUUAAACGUUCGGGUAAUAAAGAAAACUUAUUCACUGCGAUUUUUACCAAUUUUUAAUACAUUUUUAUAUGAACCGAGUAUAAAAUGUUUAAUUCCUAUUAGUUUGUUCCCCAAUUUAGUUAUAUACAUUUUUGAUAUAAUAAGAUUAUAUAGUAAUGACAAUGAUAGUAAUGGAGGUGAUAGUAAUGGAGGUGAUAGUAUAUGCAUUGAUUGUAUAUGCGACAAUAUUAACGAUAAUAUAAUGAUGGUAACAGUAUUUAACCCUAACACUUCGUCAUAUAUUAACUCAUAUUUUGUUAUUAAUAUUUUAUUUACUACUACUACUAUAUUUGAUAAUUUUGAUAAUAAAAUAAAUUAUUUUAUAGAAAAAAAAAAAAAUAAAUGA
ensembl:lncRNA